rnacentral:rRNA from 1 species
UACGGAGGGUGCAAGCGUUAUCCGGAUUUACUGGGUUUAAAGGGUGUGUAGGCGGGCUGUUAAGUCAGUGGUGAAAUCUCCGGGCUCAACCCGGAAACUGCCAUUGAUACUAAUGGUCUUGAAUUUUGUUGAGGUAGGCGGAAUAAGUCAUGUAGCGGUGAAAUGCAUAGAUAUGACUUAGAACACCAAUUGCGAAGGCAGCUUACUACCCGAAUAUUGACACUGAGGCACGAAAGCGUGGGGAUCAAACAGG